rnacentral:lncRNA from 10 species
GUGGGCCUCGCCCUGCCCCGCGGCGGGAACGCGGCCGUGAGGGUGUGGGGUGUAGGUCCGCCAGGCCUGCAACGGCUGCCGAGGGUCGUGGGAUGCGCUCGCCGCGUCCCUGCUCAGGCGGAGGGAGCCCGGCCCGCCGCCAGGGUCUCGAGUCCGGGUCCAGGCAGGCGUGGAGGUGGCGGGAACGGCGCACCGCCCGGGAGUAUGACAACUUUUCAACUUGAGUGCACACACUGUCCCCGGAAUCCCGCGUUCCAGGGAGGAAGCGCCUUUGACAGCGCGCGCCGGUUCGUGGGGCCCGACGGCGUGGGCCUGUGGUUGCGGACCUGGCGGAGAUGCGCGUUCGCUUCGAUUGUAGGCCAUUCCUUUUAGGAGCUGAGAAAGGAUCCGUUUUUACAGCAUUCUCGACCUGUGAUUCUUGGUGGGGGAAACUAGUUAUGUGGAUAAAAAUACAGUUAGCAAAAUAAAAAUGCCAAUUUUACAUUUCCUUAAA